AGAAAAAUGCUCACAUUGUAGAAACUGGAAACGAUCAAAACAGUUAAUCAACUAAGUGGGUAGAAUAGAGCCAUACUAUUCAGUGACCCACUUUCAUGGCAUGGACUCAACCAUUCUCACCUGACUUCAUUCAUACCCAAUCAUGGUCCAAACUCACCUGACUUCACUCACUACUAAUCAUGGCUUACUCCGUAAGUCCCACCCAUUUCCUUUGUUGUAGCUGGCAGCAACAUGAAGGAGCAUGUGAGGGCCCUCUGUCCCCGAUUCAGAGACAAAAACCUAUGGUUGUGUGUGAAGAAAUACUUGCAGUGGUAGGCCUACCCCUCACCCCCUUGGCCUCAUCUGCUUUCGCCCUGAAUGUGUGCAGAGUAAAUAAAUGGCUUAAACGGAAACACCUGUUGUCCUUCGUACAUUCUUGCUGAUGUACCAUCGCGACGCUCAACUCCUACAACCCAAUCCAAAGAGACUCUACCAAGUGAUUAAUGGUCUAAUCAUUUCAGCUGGACUUGUAGGCUGUUAUAUUG